rnacentral:rRNA from 1 species
CAGCAGCCGCGGGAAUACGUAGGGUGCAAGCGUUAUCCGGAAUUAUUGGGCGUAAAGAGCUCGUAGGCGGUUUGUCGCGUCUGCUGUGAAAACUGGAGGCUCAACCUCCAGCCUGCAGUGGGUACGGGCAGACUAGAGUGCGGUAGGGGAGAUUGGAAUUCCUGGUGUAGCGGUGGAAUGCGCAGAUAUCAGGAGGAACACCGAUGGCGAAGGCAGAUCUCUGGGCCGUAACUGACGCUGAGGAGCGAAAGCAUGGGGAGCGAACAGGAUUAGAUACCCCUGUAGUCCCUGUCUCUUAUAC